UUAUCUUUCACUAUGCUGCUUAUAAAAUUAAAUAAAAAUGUGCAUGCAUAUUGAUACAUGUGCAUUCUGAUUGGUUUUGACCUAUUUGGUUGAGACUUCUCUCCACUUCUUGCUUCACACACAGCCCAUCCCAGGAGGCAGAGGGACAGCACCCACAUGGCCUGAACCCUUUCCCCAGACUCCACUCAUCCCACCAAUGGGGAAGCAGGCCCCGAGAGAGGAAUAGAGAAGAGAGGCCAAGUGCCAUGUCACAGACCGCUGACCUCCCACUGGGGGGUAGUGGGAUGGGCUUGAACUGGACAGGAGGCCGAGAUUUUAGUAAUCUGCUCUCAAAACAACCACUGGAAUGGGCUUCAUUUAGCCAAAAAGACCCAGACAUGAAGGUGGGAUCACUGACAAGAGAUGGAGAGACAUCUCUCUGCAGAACUUUCCAUGGCCCAGCAACAUUCUCNNNNNNNNNNNNNNNNNCCAGAAGACCUCAACGUAAAUUGGCUGAAAGAGUCCAAUACUCGUGAGGAAGGAACUCGUGGCAAUGCUUUAAUAAAGAAAGACAAUAGAGAGACUCUUGAAAUAGUUCAAGACUAUAACGUCUUCAUUAGAAGUGCCUUUUUACUUACCAUUCUCCCAGAAACUCCCCCAGUCAGCGGCGUCUUUGGGAAUCCAGAAAGCAACCUCCUGAAACUGUCACAUGAACCAGUCUGCGAAGAUUUCAUAAUAGCAGCCAGAUGA
rnacentral:lncRNA from 1 species